rnacentral:rRNA from 1 species
CCUACGGGUGGCAGCAGUGGGGAAUAUUGGACAAUGGGCGAAAGCCUGAUCCAGCCAUGCCGCGUGUGUGAAGAAGGCCUUCGGGUUGUAAAGCACUUUCAGUGGGGAAGAAAGCCUUGGGGCUAAUACCCUCGAGGAAGGACAUCACCCACAGAAGAAGCACCGGCUAACUCCGUGCCAGCAGCCGCGGUAAUACGGAGGGUGCGAGCGUUAAUCGGAAUUACUGGGCGUAAAGCGCACGUAGGCGGUCUGAUAAGCCGGUUGUGAAAGCCCCGGGCUCAACCUGGGAACGGCAUCCGGAACUGUCAGGCUAGAGUGCAGGAGAGGAAGGUAGAAUUCCCGGUGUAGCGGUGAAAUGCGUAGAGAUCGGGAGGAAUACCAGUGGCGAAGGCGGCCUUCUGGACUGACACUGACGCUGAGGUGCGAAAGCGUGGGUAGCAAACAGGAUUAGAUACCCUAGUAGUC